CUCAAAAUGAGCCCAAAGCCGGGAGUAAUAACCGUCAGAACUGGAAAUUGCGGAUUUGAAUGACUCGAAAAUGUUCAGUAUACCAUUACCAUUGAGAUCUGCAGCUGUGGAAGCCACAAACAUAUCAGAAUGCCACAUAUGUGGUAGGCUAACCCUGUGAAAAACAGUAACUGUCCUGCCAGGCUACCAAGUCAGCAUGUGUGCAUACGGUAUAUUUGAAGACAGGAAGUGUGGUUUCUAAUGGAUAAU